UCGAGAUCUGACAGAAUGAAAGCGAAGAAAAUGAGUGGCGAUCGGCAAAGUCAGGACCGUAACUCUUUAAGCCUCUCCCACGGGAGAUCGUCAGGUCCCACAGGAGUCACCAACAAAGCCAAGACAUGACUUGGGAAAUACUAAAGGAUUAUUGGUCAUUCGAAUCCGAAGAAAAAAUCUGUCGAAAGGACUAUCUGUCAAAGGGAUCGCUAAACGCUUGUCCCCGUUACUCAUCGAAAUAGUUUCGGCCCACCCGUGGCAAAGCGAUGGGAUUCGAAAAUGUUGUGACAGUCCAUUAUACACUGGGGUACCAAACUGCCCAGCCAAUUGGAGUAGCGGAGGAGAAAGCCGACUGGGAUAUUCGAACGAAGGAGGCUGAUCGAUGAUGAAAGGAUCAGUAGAACAGAAUGAAGGCUGCCUCGAGGUGGACCCAAGGAAAUUCGAUGCUCGAUUUCGUUGGACAAACAAAGAAAAAAGGAUCGUGGUAUUUGCGUAAUCCGCGCCCUUUCAAAGCUGCGCUAAAACGUCUAGAAGCGGUGAAACGAUUUGGGAACGAAAAAGUGAAGACGA